ACUCUUCUUUUUCUUCAGAUCGUGUAAAUCUUUUGUCUUUUACUAAAGAUUUCCAUGGAAGAUGUGGAGAACUUUGGUGAACUUGAGUUUUGCUGAUUUUGCUCUCAGCAA
ensembl:snRNA U5 U5 spliceosomal RNA